rnacentral:snRNA from 1 species
GGAUGUGAGGGUGAUCUGGCUGCGACAUCUGUCACCCCAUUGAUCUCCAGGUUGAUUCGGCUGAUCUGGCUGGCUAGGUGGGUGUCCCCUUCCUCCCUCACUGCUCCAUGUGCGUCCCUCCCAAAGCUGCACACUCGGUCGAAGAGGACGACCUUCCCCGAUAGAGGAGAGGACCAUUCUUCGGUCAAGUGCUUAGUCAUGAAGUGCUAGAACCUCCAAACAAGCUCUCAAGAAAAGUGCUUGUCCUAUAAAUAAAAAUGGAAACUGUAGUGCUAUAAAAUCUCAUCAACUUUUCUAGAACUUU